rnacentral:rRNA from 1 species
GAAAGCAGGGGACCUUCGGGCCUUGCGCUAUCAGAUGAACCUAGGUCGGAUUAGCUAGUUGGUGGGGUAAUGGCUCACCAAGGCGACGAUCCGUAACUGGUCUGAGAGGAUGAUCAGUCACACUGGAACUGAGACACGGUCCAGACUCCUACGGGAGGCAGCAGUGGGGAAUAUUGGACAAUGGGCGAAAGCCUGAUCCAGCCAUGCCGCGUGUGUGAAGAAGGUCUUCGGAUUGUAAAGCACUUUAAGUUGGGAGGAAGGGCAGUAAGCGAAUACCUUGCUGUUUUGACGUUACCGACAGAAUAAGCACCGGCUAACUCUGUGCCAGCAGCCGCGGUAAUACAGAGGGUGCAAGCGUUAAUCGGAAUUACUGGGCGUAAAGCGCGCGUAGGUGGUUUGUUAAGUUGGAUGUGAAAGCCCCGGGCUCAACCUGGGAACUGCA